rnacentral:rRNA from 1 species
UACAGAGGUGGCAAGCGUUGUUCGGAAUUACUGGGCGUAAAGAGCUCGUAGGUGGUUUGUCGCGUUGUUCGUGAAAACUCACAGCUUAACUGUGGGCGUGCGGGCGAUACGGGGCAGACUCGAGUACUGCAGGGGAGACUGGAAUUCCUGGUGUAGCGGUGGAAUGCGCAGAUAUCAGGAGGAACACCGGUGGCGAAGGCGGGUCUCUGGGCAGUAACUGACGCUGAGGAGCGAAAGCGUGGGGAGCGAACAGGA